AUUGAACGCUGGCGGCAGGCCUAACACAUGCAAGUCGAGCGGAUGAAGGGAGCUUGCUCCUGGAUUCAGCGGCGGACGGGUGAGUAAUGCCUAGGAAUCUGCCUGCUAGUGGGGGAUAACGUCCGGAAACGGGCGCUAAUACCGCAUACGUCCUGAGGUAGAAAGUGGGGGAUCUUCGGACCUCACGCUAUCAGAUGAGCCUAGGUCGGAUUAGCUAGUUGUUGGGGUAAAGGCCUACCAAGGCGACGAUCCGUAACUGGUCUCAGAGGAUGAUCAGUCACACUGGAACUGAGACACGGUCCAGACUCCUACGGGAGGCAGCAGUGGGGAAUAGUGGACAAUGGGCGAAAGCCUGAUCCAGCCAUGCCGCGUGUGUGAAGAAGGUCUUCGGAUUGUAAAGCACUUUAAGUUGGGAGGAAGGGCAGUAAGUUAAUACCUUGCUGUUUUGACGUUACCAGCAGAAUAAGCACCGGCUAACUACGUG
rnacentral:rRNA from 1 species